GAUAAUUGGCAAUUCUAAUUAAAUUUUUGACGUGGCGAAAAACAAUUGGCUAUCAUACAAACAAAACCCUGCUACAUUUGCGCCAAAGGGAAAGACAACUUGGUCCGCACCUUGGAGUAAAUCUGACAAUUUGAUCAGUUGUCAGCGUCUUCCCGCCGCGACCUCCCUGGCGUACCCUUGACCCGCAUGCCCGAUAAGCCGGCCCGUAUAUGUCUGCAGAACGACCGAACGAACUCUAAGCUGUAACUAACUAAGUAUAUCUGACCUCCGUCUUUCACCACCUUGACGGCGUGCUGGAAGUUUCAGAUACAGACAUUUAAGAAGUGGUUAAAAGCUUCCUUGCAAAAAAGUGUAGAAGCCAGUGACUGCUGCUGAACACCACAACAGGACACAACAGAGGUCCAGUGUCUAUGGGCAUGAUUCUAGACCCAACAAAGGGCAAGUGACCUGAUGAAUCUGCGCCUCUACUUUUCUGCAACAGGAAAUCUCCGAGCAAUGCUGGUUCCUCCACUUGGUCCUCUUCCUCGUCCUCUGCAGGUGGAAUUGCUGGCUGAGAGGUUUUCAAGAUGGGACGCCCAAAGGGCCAAGAUCAUUCUGCAGCUGGAAUCAGCCUUCUCAGGCCUGGAAUAUGAGGAUGUUGGCUAUUAACUUUUCACAACAUGCAUCACUUCAGGGAGCUGCAGCUUUGUCAGCAGUCUAAGUAGCUCACCUCCUCAUG